rnacentral:rRNA from 1 species
AGUGAACGCUGGCGGUAGGCCUAACACAUGCCAGUCGAACGGCAGCACAGUAAGAGCUUGCUCUUACGGGUGGCGAGUGGCGGACGGGUGAGGAAUACAUCGGAAUCUACUUUUUCGUGGGGGAUAACGUAGGGAAACUUACGCUAAUACCGCAUACGACCUACGGGUGAAAGCAGGGGAUCUUCGGACCUUGCGCGAUUGAAUGAGCCGAUGUCGGAUUAGCUAGUUGGCGGGGUAAAGGCCCACCAAGGCGACGAUCCGUAGCUGGUCUGAGAGGAUGAUCAGCCACACUGGAACUGAGACACGGUCCAGACUCCUACGGGAGGCAGCAGUGGGGAAUAUUGGACAAUGGGCGCAAGCCUGAUCCAGCCAUACCGCGGGGGUGAAGAAGGCCUUCGGGUUGUAAAGCCCUUUUGUUGGGAAAGAAAAGCAGCAGGUUAAUACCCCGCUGUUCUGACGGUACCCAAAGAAUAAGCACCGGCUAACUUCGU